CUGAGGUUUUUUGCUGCGGGGAAGUAUAGAAAUAAAAAUGAGAGAGGGUGUGUAAAUGACAGUUUUCGACUUACCUUGCUGAAUGGGUUGGUUGCUGGAAGUCAGGGCUAUGGGGAGAGCUCUAAGCAGCCAGCUGGAGGACAGGCAUCGCUUAUGACAAAAGAGCUGGAUUUGGAGGUGCCUAGCAGGAAGUUUUCCAAAGAGAUAGCAGAGCUCCAGGGGACCGUGAGUGAGCUGUGGACAUCUGCCAUGCCACAGGGCACCAAUGCCCUUUUACAAUCCCUCCACUCAAGUUAAUAGAAAACUUAACUCAAUCUGGAUGAAACAAGUGGAAUUUGUUGCCUCUUAGCCAAUAAAAUGGAAGUCCAAAGGUAUUUAUGGAGCAUUGUUUUAUGGUGAUGAAUAGGACAGGGAAAGCCUCUGUUUUCAUGGUGCUCAUACGUUCAAGGAAGAGAGUCACCAAAAUCUGAUAAAUAAGAAACUAACUAACUGUGAGAAUAUCACGUAAUGAAAGUACUAUUAGAAAAUGAAACAAGGUGUGAAGGUGAGGAUGAAGGGGAGAGUGAAUGAAGGCCACGUUCAAUGGAAUGCUCAGGAAGGUCUUUUGGGGGAG
rnacentral:lncRNA from 1 species